CGGUGGAGCAUGUGGUAUAAUUCGAAGCAACGCGAAGAACCUCACCUGGCCGUGACAUGCUGAGAACUUUCCAGAGAUGGAUUGGUGCCUUCGGGAACUCAGACACAGGUGCUGCAUGGCGGUCGUCAGCUCGUGUCGUGAGAUGUUGGGUUAAGUCCCGUAACGAGCGCAACCCUUGUCCUUAGUUACCAGCACGUUAU
rnacentral:rRNA from 1 species